rnacentral:rRNA from 1 species
ACCUACGGGGCGCAGCAGUAGGGAAUCUUCCACAACGGGCGAAAGCCUGAUGGAGCAACGCCGCGUGGGUGAAGAAGGUCUUCGGAUCGUAAAACCCUGUUGUUAGAGAAGAAAGUGCGUGAGAGCAACUGUUCACGUUUCGACGGUAUCUAACCAGAAAGCCACGGCUAACUACGUGCCAGCAGCCGCGGUAAUACGUAGGUGGCAAGCGUUAUCCGGAUUUAUUGGGCGUAAAGGGAACGCAGGCGGUCUUUUAAGUCUGAUGUGAAAGCCUUCGGCUUAACCGGAGUAGUGCAUUGGAAACU